UUGCAUAGUCUAUUAAGUUGG
rnacentral:miRNA from 1 species